CGUUCAACUCGCCUGAAUUGCCUCAGGUCGUCCCAUGGGGCUAUGGAUUCAUUCAUGUCUAUGUAAAUCAUCUCUUGCGGUUCGUUUGCGUUUAUAUUUGUUAGUGUAUGUAUCUUUAUUUUGAAAGGCGUAAUGCACGCAACAUAUAUAGCAACGUACAUGCAUAUAGCUCUAUUCCUAUUGUUUCCUUUCUACUUCAAAUUUCUAUCGUCAAGAAAACUUAUUAUAGUCAGAAAUAAUUAAAAAAAGCCAAACGGAAAAGAUAAUCUAAUCACUUUUUUCAUCGCAUUUCCUGCGUCAACUCUACUCGAGGACAACUAUAAACACUAAGUCCACCCUCACCUACUUCCUCACCAAU